UCAAACGUUCACGAAUCAUUUGUCAAAGAACCAUUUACCAAGGCUGAGAAGAUUUGUUUCCGUUUUCUCGGCGUUGUAAGACUCGUAGAGAUUAUCGGCCUCAGCCUGCGACUCGCAUCCUGCUUCCAUCGUGAGACAAACUGCGACACACCCACUGUUCCCAGAACGUCGAACUUCGCCACGAAUUUCCGGUCGAAUCGAAAGCAACGCGCGCGCGAGAUAUUCGCGAAAAAACGCGCAGUUUUCACGUUUCUAUAAACAGUCGUGGAAUUAUCCUUUAGCGCAGGAAGGGGAAUCGAGUUGAUCGUAGUCGAUUCUAAACACUGACAAUAUUCACAGAUCUCGUGAAAUACUCAACGAUUGCCCGUACAAAUACUUUGUAUAUGUACGUUCGCCUCACAACAAACACGUUACAAUGACGUAUAGUAUCAAGAAUACAUUGCUCCUUAUCCGUUUAUCUCUGCCUAAUACUUUUUUUUUUCAGAACGAUGAGGGAACGCACGAUACAGCGAGCAAACAGUCACGUGCUUAUCGGAAUAUUGGCGAGAUUUGCACACAGGGACCCGUGACGAUCGACAAAACGGUACUGAUUGUCAAUCAAGUUGUCGGUAAAGCGACCGGCUUCCAAGCCGGAGAAUAGAAGCCUGGAGGAGGAGGCAAGUUGAACUGGAGAAGGAGAAGGAACAGGAGUUGGAGGGAGUAUUCUCGCAACAAGGGAAGUAGAAACCCGAGGCGGGUUCGAGACGAAGGAAAAGCAACCUAACCAGCUACGAAGAAAUGGUUCGCGGAUAAAACCUGAACUAGACGGAUGCCCGUGAAUCGGCUGGAUGUGCUUUUUCGCGGAAAUUGUAGCGUUCUUUGAAUCAAAUGCCUUAACUCAAAGGCUGGGAAACGACGGCGAAACGAGUACAAAGUAAUUUGAAUACUGGUGGCUUGAAAAAAACCAAAUGCGACGCGUAUUUUGCUUGCGUACUUUGUUGAUAAAAUAAAUUGUUAAGAGAAAGUUUAUCUCUUUGAGUUAAUAUAACAACGCGUUUGAAUGGGAUUCGUUGUUGGCAGAAAGCCUACCAAGCUUCCUCAGAUCUAUUUUAUACUUCUGAAUCAUACGGCCAAUUUCAACAUUAAUAUUACGCGAUAUGCGUAACGCACUUUCGUUAUAAAUCUCGGAGAUUAGAUGGGGGAUUAGACGUACGAUGAUAGCUUCAAAUGGUUAAUAAAUCCUAUAUUAUAAUUGCAGAUAUUUAAAUUGAGAUAUACUAUAAUAUAUUCUUGUUCUUACUAUAUUACGCUGAGUACGUUUAGUACUUAUGUUACGUUUGCUCUGAUUAAGCAAAACAAAAGAUUCAUCUUAAAAAAAGCAUGUAAUAAGAGUACAAUUAGAAUUUGAUGCAAUCAUAAUAUUUGCAUCGAUCUCUAUGCAUAGACAAAGUUAGUGAGUAACUCUCAUUAACUCAUACUCCCAUUGAUCAAAUUUACUUACUUAUAUACUGUUCCCAACGUGCGUGUCUUUGGAUCGUCGCCAAUCGAGCUGGUGUAAUAGGCGAUACAGGAUUCAUAAUGUUGGUUAUAUCACUCUGUUUUCAACGACAUGGCACCAAAUUAAACAACGCUUUAAACUUAAUUGGAAUGUAGAAUGAAAAUUGAAACUUCAAGAAUGUGAUUCUCUUCGAUUCUUUUCGAUCGAUUUCAGAUGAACUUAUUUAAGACCGAGUGAUCGUUGAACACUAGCUUUUGAUUCUUUCUACUAGCAGAGAGAUGCAGACACAAAUGAGGAACGGCAAUGAAUACAAGGCCGCAGUUUGGCUAGAGAAACAAUCUGUUCAAAACAUUCUAUAGAUAUAAAUCCCCUCCCCUGCCAAUUACUAAUUACUGCAUACUUCGCAUGAAAUUAAGCAUCCAAAAUAACAUUUGUCAUUGCGAGUUUAACGAGCAGACAUAUGGAGAUAAAAUAAAAAUUAUUCCAUACCACUUUAAGUUAUUGUCGAGUGCAACGUGUCGAAAAUAAUGAGCAAACGAAGAAAUUAUUGUUAGAAGGCACGUAUGUAUGUGUUGCGAGACCAG